UGGAGUAAGGACUGCCCUACAAAGAAGGCGAAGAAGGCUGAGGUGGUAGCACAAGCGAAUGCUGUGCUUGCAACUACAAGUGGGCCCGUAGUGAACAUGGUUGUUGGUGAGGCCACGGCUUCUGAAACCAACGCAGACCGAGUCAUAGCUUGACAGUGACGAUGGGGAAUGCUAGUGCUGCUCAAGUACAUGGAAUAGGAAACGUAGACCUGAAGUUCCCAUCUGGACGUAUUCUAUCCCUAACUAGAGUGCAUUAUGUUCCCGACAUGCGUAGAAAUAUAAUAAGUGGAAGCUGUUUAGUUUCCAAUGGCUUUGAAAUUUCCUUCAAGUGUAAUAAAGUAGUUCUUAUUCACACUGGUACAUUUUUUGGCAAGGGUUACUUGUCAAAUGGUUUGUUUGUAAUAAAUGCUGAACCCAUUUUGGGUACAUUAAAUAAUGUUAUUCUUCCUUCUGUGAA